GCAGGCAUAGCUUAGUGGUUAAAAUGCCCAAGUUUCAAAUCUGAAUACCUGGGUUCAAUUCCCAGCUCCAGCU
rnacentral:tRNA from 1 species